GCUAAACGCGAAGAACCUUACCAGGGCUUGACAUCCCGCUGACCGGUGUAGAGAUACGCCUUUCCCCUUCGGGGGACAGCGGUGACAGGUGGUGCAUGGUUGUCGUCAGCUCGUGUCGUGAGAUGUUGGGUUCAGUCCCGCAACGAGCGCAACCCUUGUUUCUAGUUGCCAGCACUUCGGGUGGGCACUCUAGAGAGACAGCCGGUGAAAGCCGGAGGAAGGUGGGGAUGACGUCAAAUCAUCAUGCCCCUUAUGUCCUGGGCUACACACGUGCUACAAUGGCUGGUACAAAGGGCAGCGAACCCGCGAGGGGGAGCCAAUCCCAAAAAACCAGUCUCAGUUCGGAUUGCAGGCUGCAACUCGCCUGCAUGAAGUCGGAAUCGCUAGUAAUCGCGGAUCAGCAUGCCGCGGUGAAUACGUUCCCGGGUCUUGUACACACCG
rnacentral:rRNA from 1 species